rnacentral:lncRNA from 12 species
AUGCAGAAGCUGGAGGCCGCAAUCAAAGCAGAGUCUCAGAAUUGGAAGGAUAAACAGGCGGAAAUAGUCCAAAAACCAUGUGCCUCUGCUGACCUUGAAGAGUUCUCUCCAGUUGCAGUUACACACCUGUGGGCCCCAAGCCAUCUACAUAUAUGCUGCAAGGAGCAGGUACAGCACUGUUUUAUAUCGAUGCCCUGUGCUUCUGAAGGCAGCCCUGGUCUGGAGCCAAGCUCAUACUGGGGUUCUACUGAAGAAGUUAUCCAGUGCUCAUGUCCUUGCCUUACUUUCUUUUAACUUUCUCUUCCUUCCCAAAUCUAGUCUGACUACCUGAAUAUGACCCAUUUUUUCCCCUGACCUUUAGUUCUUUCUCAGAGUUAACUCCAGGAGAAUGUGCACCAUAUCCUAUAAGCAAAGGAAGACAGCAGCCCCAGUAAAGAGGAAUUCACUGGCAUUUGGCAAGAAUAACAAAACAGAGCCAGAAAUGAGGUCCCCAGGAGCAGAGGUCAGAGAUGAGGAUCAUGAAGAGCUACUUGCAGAAGCAGCUCAGUCUCAGAUCUCGUUCCUUGGAAUCAAAGAUUACCUGACUCAAGGGGGAAUUCGCUGGGUAGAGCUUCAGAAGUAGAGAUGGGAGAGGAGACAUGUCAGAAUUAGAGGCAAGAUAUUUCAAAAAGUGGCCUCACUCCCAGGAAUAGGCUCACGUGGUGUCACACAGGAAGCCCACUGUCAGACUCCCAAGCCUGUGCUAAUGGGACACAUCCCCUGAACCAUUAAAGAUAUUUUUUUUUGGCAUUUAUUCUAUGCAGAAUUUACUCCCGGGACAUAAGUUUUUGUUUCUUCAAUUUCUUCUGGGAUAUCUUUUUCUUCUGUGCAACCUCCUCUUCUGGUUUAGGAACAAUCUGCUCUUUUUCAGUAAGAAUCAUCUCAAUGUGGCAGGGAGAGCUCAGGUAUGGGUUAAUCCAGCCAUGAGCCCUAUAAGUUCCAUGUCACAUCUUGGGGGCUUUGGUCACCUGGAUGUGCUCAAUGACCAGAGAAUCUACAUCUAAACCCUUAAGUUCAGCAUUACUCUCUGCAUUUUUAAGCAUGUGCAAUAAAAAUUCAGCACUCUUCUUAGGCCA